GGAUGAAUGUGAACGUCUAAGUAGCUGGAUAGCCCAGGCUGGCCUUGAACUCCUGAUCUUCCUGCUGGGAAUGCUGGGAUCACAGCGACACUGAAUGACGUGAUGGAUGUUUCAUUCGCUCAUAUCCCUGAUGUGAUUGUUAUGGUUCCCUGUCCAGCCUGGGUCCUGGUCUCCUGUCCCCGUUCAUCAGAGAUGCUACUUUCCAAGGUCAGGGCAGCCAGUGGCCCAUGUCUGCAGCCUCAACUAACUUUCUGGAAAACCUGCUUUGGGAACAGCUUCACCUGAGAGUUAGUGAGCUGCCUGCUUUCUGAAACCCAACCUUCUUGUUUGCUUCGUGCUUGAGAUGGAGUCUUGCUAUGACAGUGACCAGGCUGGUCACACUUGGAGCCCUAGUAUGGGAGAGACCCAGUGACUUGCUUCUGGAUGGAUCCUGGAAGCUUGGAAAGGCCCUCCAGUGUGCAACUCAUUUUGUGUAGGUAAUCUCACUGGCCCCCCAGAGAGCUUCCCAGUAUUGGGAGCAAUCUUACUGCAAUAACGAGGUUUUGACAAGGAACUUCAAAUGGACAUAUUUGUAACAGGCAUUCUUCAGCAAUCACCAGAUUCUGUGUGAGGCCACAUAGGGUCAGUGACUUACCAUCUUCAACACAACCUGCCCAAGCUAUAGGACUCUUUCAUAGAUUUGCAAGUUGUAGGACAUCCAGAGGCCCUUGCCCAUGCCUGAUCAAUUCUCUUCUCCUUUGAGAAUACCUCCUCUUCAAGUAGUCUGAGAUGUUACCAAGCGUGGAGACAGCAUCUUGUUACUGGGUCCCCAAAGCUUGGCGUGAAGGAGAUGCUGGGGGGAAUGACUGAGCAGGAAACCAAGCCUUCACAUUGACAGGGGCUUGGUGUUACCCCUCUGUCUGCAUGUCCCCAAGUGUUUGCUUUGUCAGAUGUGACCAAAUUCUUCAGCUGAAGGGAAGAAGAAUCCAUUCGGCUCAAGGUCUUAUGUCACCACCAUCCCUGCCAGGACAACAGUGGAUGCCUCUGACUGGUUGUGCGUGCACUGCCGUUCCCAUCCAGGUCCCCCACAGCAGACUACGCAAUCACCCUGAAAUAUAAGCCUUGGGAGAGCUUGCUGUCCUCCUCACUCAAGUCCCAUCUAUGAGAGAGCCGAGAGGAGGCUUCUCCUUGGCCCUCAGAAGGAUCCGAAAUUUACUACACUUUGGAUGUGAACUUCUGAUCUCUAGACAUGUGAGAAGAGCCGAGGGGAUGCUCUGGAGUGAGCCUAGAGAGCUUUGGCAGCUGCUAUUGCAUGGGUGUAAAAUGUCACCCCCAGGGCCCCCACCUGCUCAGAGGAUAAGGGGAGGGGGUGGGGAAAGGGUUGUGGGAAGGUGUAAUCAGGAGGGGGGCAGUGAGGGGGAUGUAAAGUGAAUAAGUAAAAUAAAAGAAACAAUAUGACAGUCACUAUUUUAAAGAGAAAACCAAUGUGUUAAAGACCUGGCCCCUGUGGCUGCUGUGUUGAGA